AGGAUAAAGAUGGAUAUAUAACCAAAGCUGAGAUGAUAAAACUCUCUAAGAAGCUGACAAAGGAACAAGUUGAACUGGCAUUUAAACGGUUUGAUUCUGAUGGAGAUGGAAGACUAAGUUAUUCUGAAUUCAAGAAGAUGAUGCAUAAAUAGUCUAAUUUGCAGUUGACCGAUUCAGUUUUCCGGUCACUACUAUAUAGGUUGGGGCCUCAUUUUCAGAUCUUUCUUAGCAUUUCUGGAGGCUUCACAAAAAAAUCUUAAAAUUGAGGAUUUUAUGCAUUAUCUGUUUUUAUUAGAUUUGCUUUUAUUUCACUCUGAAUCCUCCGCUAGAAGAUUUGAGAUUGGACAAAAACAUUAAGUAAAAAUACGUAGGGAAAAGGUUAUCAAUUCGAUGUAUAUUUCAUUGUAGCCUCUAUAUAAAGCCGACAAGUCAGAAAUGUUAGACAUAUAAAAAAAUGUCGUCUCAACUUCUAAGUUAGGCAAAUGAACUUUCUGCAUACAAUGCAUUUUAUUGCAUUUAAUGUUUACUUCUAAAUAUGUUGACAUAAAUGGACAAAGCUUAUUUCCACAGAGUAAAGGUAUAUUUUUAUGCACAACAAAUCUGGACGUCCUAUUCAAUUAUUAUUGAUAAAUGAAGAAGGUGCAUUAAAAAAUUGAUUUUGAUUUGACAAUCGUUACAUGUAAGUACAUUGUAUAACUUGGUGUAAUUUCGUUAAUUCGACAGAAAUCUGAAAGUUUUUAGCGCCAAAAAAAAUAUCCAUUUGCAUGUUUACUAAGCAGUGCUAGUAAUUCUUGUUAAAAACAUAAUUCUUUUUUCUCAUAAUCUCGUUGGGUGUCUUUUCUAAAAUAUUGUGCUUAACUUUUAGCAGAUCUUUCUUGUAGUGCAAACAUUUAUUUUAUAUUUCUCACUUAAAAUAUGUAAACGUAGUUCAAAAUCACUCGCUAUUUAAGAGUGCCAUAAAUAUUCACAACGGUGCCCUUUUUAUCUGCAAAUAGGUGAUUGAGAUAUUUUAUUCUUUAUUGAUCCUGGCGUUCUUUAGUUGGAGGGCAAAUUCAAUUUUAGUUGGUCUAAAUAUUUAUCCUCUGAGGUCCACCGUCUCUAAAUAUUUAUCCUCUGAGGUCCACAGUCUCGAAAUCUUUAUCCUCUGAGGUCCACAGUCUCUAAAUCUUUAUCCUCUGAGGUCUACAGUCACUAAAUCUUUAUCCUCUGAGGUCUACAGUCUCUAAAUAUACAUCCUCUGAGGUCCACCUUCUCUAAAUCUUUAUCCUCUGUGGUCCUAAGUCUCUAAAUAUUCAUCCUCUGAGGUCCACCGUCUCUAAAUCUUUAUCCUCUGAGGUCCACUGUCUCUAAAUAUUUAUCCUGUAAGGUCCACUGUCUCUAAAUAUUUAUCCUCUAAGGUCCACAGUCUAUAAAUAUUUAUCAUCCAAGGUCCAUUUUGUUACCCUCCUAGGUUCAAAAUCUCUAAAUAUUUAUCCUCUGAGGUCCACCGUCUCUAAAUAUUUAUCCUCUGAGGUCCACAGUCUCGAAAUCUUUAUCCUCUGAGGUCCACUGUCUCUAAAUAUUUAUCAUCAUAGCGCCACCGCCUGUUCAUAUUUACCUUCUGAGGUCCACAGUCUCUGAAUAUUUAUCCUCUGAGGUUCAAAGUCUCUAAAUGUUUAUCCUCUGAGGUCCACAGUCUCUGAAUAUUUAUCCUUAGAGGUUCAAAGUCUCUUAAUAUUUAUCCUCUAAGGUCAAUUCAGUCUCUGAAUAUUUUCUUAAUUUUCUAAUCAUUUCAUUAAAUCGAAAUUAAUGAAGAAAAAAUGCAAUUUGGGCAUUAUAUGUUAUUACUAUGCGUUGAAAAAGAUACAGUGUCUAAUAAGGAUGAGAUUUCAGAGAUCUCUUUUAUGUGAGAACCAAUGUAUCUAAAAUUAUCAAGAUUAAUAUAACUAUUCUCCUUGUUAUUUCAUGUUCUAAAAAACUAUUUACUUAUUCGUUAUAUUGUACAGUGCACAAUCUUGUUAGAGAUAUUUAUCUUAUUGUUAAAAUGUAAUAAAUAUUAUUCAAAGAA
rnacentral:lncRNA from 1 species